rnacentral:rRNA from 1 species
GACUCUCGGCAACGGAUAUCUCGGCUCUCGCAUCGAUGAAVAACGUAGCGAAAUGCGAUACUUGGUGUGAAUUGCAGAAUCCCGUGAACCAUCGAGUCUUUGAACGCAAGUUGCGCCCGAAGCCGUCAGGCCGAGGGCACGCCUGCCUGGGCGUCACGC